rnacentral:rRNA from 1 species
UACGUAGGUGGCGAGCGUUGUUCGGAUUUAUUGGGCGUAAAGGGUCCGCAGGGGGCUUGAUUAAGUCUGAUGUGAAAUCUCAGAGCUCAACUCUGAAAUUGCAUUGGAAACUGAUUGGCUAGAGUAUUGGAGAGGUGAUUGGAAUUCCAGGUGUAGCGGUGGAAUGCGUAGAUAUCUGGAAGAACAUCGAGAGCGAAGGCAGAUCACUGGACAAAGACUGACCCUCAGGGACGAAAGCAUGGGGAGCAAA